rnacentral:rRNA from 1 species
AGGACGAACGCUGGCGGCGUGCUUAACACAUGCAGGUCGAGCGGAAAGGCCCUUCGGGGUACUCGAGCGGCGAACGGGUGAGUAACACGUGGGCAACCUGCCCCUAGCUCUGGGAUAACUCCGGGAAACCGGUGCUAAUACCGGAUACGACCUCAUUAGGCAUCCUUUGAGGUGGAAAGAUUUAUUGGCUAGGGAUGGGCCCGCGGCCUAUCAGCUUGUUGGUGGGGUAAUGGCCUACCAAGGCGACGAC